UUCUCCUUUCUAGCCUCAGAUAGGAGAAAGUAUGCUAUUGUGCAUGACUUGAUCCUAAGUUAAAAUAAUAUUUAUUUGGGUGGGCCUGCCAUACAGGAAACGUUAAGAUACUGAAAACUGUGCAGUGGAAACAACAUGAAUUGUACAACUAAAGGAUGUUAUGUGGUGUGGUCACCAGCCACGAGGCUGCCUGUCCUCAUCAGCCUGGAUAAGAGCUGCUUUUUGACAUGUUAUACUAUGACGUCGAAAGACAUUACUGGUGUUGUUAGAAGACAAAGCAAGGGAAGGACUCAUGGACAGAAAUUCAUAUUCAUCUUAAGAAUGACGGUAAACACAGAAUGACUACUGAAUAAUCAAAUUGGAAAUCUCUGUACGCUGGCCUACAGAAAUAAUUUUGUGCUUGCAGAUGAGUCUGGCUAGAUUUUCCCUUUAGUUGCAUAUGCUUAUUCCUAAGUACAAAAUUG